AGCAGCUAGAGAGGAAGUAGCUCUCUCUGAGCAAAGCUGUGAGGAGAGGCCUGACCGCAGGUACAGCCGAAGCCGGGUAUUGAAAACUGAAUCACUUUUCCUUUGUAAUCUGACCCAUCACUGACUCCAGAACAGUCUGCGGUGGAAUUAAUUGGUACCACGAUCAAGUACACAUUUUCAUCAAAUAACAGGGAGGACAAGACCCAGAUUGGUUCAUCUUUUACCUUUGAUAGGAGAAGCCAAAGAUGAAAUCUGAUUGGAGACUGAAUGACCCUUGUUCCCUGAAGCUGGCUUUCGGAACAUGAUGGUUUACAAUGAUGGAAUUAGGUUAGAAGCCAUGGACCAGUGUAUCAGGGUCAUAAUUUUGGUCAAGGGUCUGUGAACGGAUCUCGCAGGAUGCUGUAGUUGCCACAGGGAUUAGGGAACAAAAGGGAUUAUUAUUGGUAUUGGAGCUAAUUUUUGGCCCUGAGGGCAGGAACAGAUAAACGAAGGGAAGAUGCCUAAGGGAUCUCAGUGCACAGUGAAGGAAGCAGUUUUGCGCAAGUUGGCAAAAAUGAAGUAAUAAGAUUCAAACUUAUUCAAGAGGACAAGGCAAUCUCCAGUUUCAUUUCUGCCUGCUUUCUGACGAUCAGAACAGAAGAAAAGGAAAAAUGCAUCCCUCAUUAAGAACUUGGAUCUUCAGCUAGACCUUCCCAAGGAAAUUUUACAAUAAUAAAUCUUGCCACUUAAGCUUGUGCUUUGCCAAAACCAAAGUUAUAUUGGCCUUGAUGGUGGAACUUCUGUACACCUAAGAUUUUACUGUUGUUGCACAUACUUAGAAGGACCUACCAACUACCCUUAACUGCUUCACUUAGGCAAAGCUGUGCCUGGGACUGACCCUUAACAUCAGAAAAAUUAAAGAUGCUUCACCAACCUGCUCCAAGCCAGUUAACUACUCUGGCAAAGAUCCUCUUUGAGAGAGAGGAGCUGGAGAAUGUUGAAGACUUUGCAUACCUUAGCAGUGAUCUCUUAAAGCAGGCCAACAUUGCCAAGGAUCUGAUGUGCCAGCUCUGCCUUUGGAAGACUAUAUCAUUGUGUGUUCAAUG